UAGGGAAUCUUCCACAAUGGGCAAAAGCCUGAUGGAGCAACGCCGCGUGUGUGAUGAAGGCUUUCGGGUCGUAAAGCACUGUUGUNUGGGAAGAACAGCUAGAAUAGGAAAUGAUUUUAGUUUGACGGUACCAUACCAGAAAGGGACGGCUAAAUACGUGCCAGCAGCCGCGGUAAUACGUAUGUCCCGAGCGUUAUCCGGAUUUAUUGGGCG
rnacentral:rRNA from 1 species